rnacentral:rRNA from 1 species
UACGGAGGGGGCUAGCGUUGUUCGGAAUUACUGGGCGUAAAGCGCACGUAGGCGGCUUUGUAAGUUAGAGGUGAAAGCCCGGGGCUCAACCCCGGAACUGCCUUUAAGACUGCAUCGCUUGAAUCCAGGAGAGGCGAGUGGAAUUCCGAGUGUAGAGGUGAAAUUCGUAGAUAUUCGGAAGAACACCAGUGGCGAAGGCGGCUCACUGGCCUGGUAUUGACGCUGAGGUGCGAAAGCGUGGGGAGCAAACAGG